rnacentral:rRNA from 1 species
CAAACGGAGAGUUUGAUCCUGGCUCAGGAUGAACGCUGGCGGCGUGCCUAACACAUGCAAGUCGAACGGUCUUUCGGGACAGUGGCGCACGGGUGAGUAAGACGCAGC